rnacentral:rRNA from 1 species
GACGAACGCUGGCGGCGUGCUUAACACAUGCAAGUCGAACGGAAAGGCCCUGCUUUUGUGGGGUGCUCGAGUGGCGAACGGGUGAGUAACACGUGAGUAACCUGCCCUUGACUUUGGGAUAACUUCAGGAAAAUGGGGCUAAUAUCGGAUAGGAGCUCCUGCUGCAUGGUGGGGGUUGGAGAGUUUCGGCGGUUGGGGAUGGACUCGCGGCUUAUGAGCUUGUUGGUGGGGUAGUGGCUUACAAAGGCUUUGAAGGGUAGGCGGCCUGAGAGGGUUAACGGCCACAUUGGGACUGAGAUACGGCCCAGACUCCUACGGGAGGCAGCAGGGGGGAAUAUUGCACAAUGGGCGGAAGCCUGAUGCAGCAACGCCGGGUGCGGGAUGACGGCCUUCGGGUUGUAAACCGCUUUCGCCUGUGACGAAGCGGGAGUGACGGUAAUUGGUAAAGAAGCACCGGCUAACUACGUG